rnacentral:lncRNA from 1 species
AGCCCACCUGGCAGGGUGUCCAUGGGGUCACUAAAAGGGAGGGGUUUCCAGAAAGAGAGACCCCUGUGCAGGGGGAGUGUCAGUGAGACGUGGUGGUAGUGAUGAGUUUAGAGUCUGCUGUUUCCUGGGGAAGGCGCGGGAGAGCAGGGACGGUAGACUGAAUGUGGGGUUUGUGAGAACCCUCCUCUGUGAUCCCUGACUCUGAGGAGUAAGCUUGACACUCUUUGCAGAGGCGCUGCCUGGACCAGACUCUUGGAAAGCAUCAAAGAAAAAUAUCAUCAAGCCCUAAGUGAAUAUGCUGCAUCUUAAGACGUCCGUGAUUCCCUGGCUUAGAACUAUCUCCAAAAGCCUUGGAGUCCAUCCAAAUGUCAUUCAGAUCUCUUUGUGGGAUAUGACUCCAAAGGAGCAGGAAGGAUAGAAGAAGCAUUCAGAAACACCCGGACGUCUGCACCAAGCACCAGCCCUCAGGGGCUGGACAGGCCAUCGGGGGCGCACAGUGGACGGAGCUCAGAGGCAGGCCUGGCUCAGCCCUAGUAGGGUCACUGCUCCUCUCUCCUGGGUCCUGGUGCACACUCAGGUUUGUUUGUGCCCUCCGAGAGUCUGUCUCCCCAGCCUGUGGAAUUCUGUAAUCAAAUCCCGCUGACCUUCACAGUCAGAUUCCCCGGGGGGUCCCAGUCCCCUUGCUGGAUCCCUGCGUUGGGAUAUCUGUUGUCCGGCCCAGACCCUUUGCAUCACUUCGAGAACUUCUCUAGUAUAAUUGUUCUCCAGUUUGCGA